rnacentral:tRNA from 1 species
ACGGGUGUAGCUCAGUGGUAGAACAUGUGCUUAGUGUGCACAAAGCCCUGCCUGGGUUGGAUUCCCAGCAUCAAUU